UACGUAGGGGCCUAGCGUUGUCCGGAUUUAUUGGGCGUAAAGAGCUCGUAGGCGGUUCGGCAAGUCGGAUGUGAAAUCUCCACGCUUAACGUGGAGGGGCCAUUCGAAACUGCCGUGACUCGAGUCCGGUAGGGGAGUGUGGAAUUCCCGGUGUAGCGGUGAAAUGCGCAGAUAUCGGGAGGAACACCAGUAGCGAAGGCGGCUUUCUGGCCAUCAACUGACGCUGAGACGCGAAAGCGUGGGGAGCAAACAGG
rnacentral:rRNA from 1 species